UGAGGAAUAUUUGUCAAUGGACGCAAGUCUGAACCAGCCAAGUAGCGUGCAGGAUGACGGCCCUAUGGGUUGUAAACUGCUUUUAUAUGGGGAUAAAGUGGGGAACGUGUUCCCUUUUGCAGGUACCAUAUGAAUAAGGACCGACUAAUUCCGUGCCAGCAGCCGCGGUAAUACGGAAGGUUCGGGCGUUAUCCGGAUUUAUUGGGUUUAAAGGGAGCGUAGGCCGUUUGGUAAGCGUGUUGUGAAAUGUAGGAGCUCAACUUCUAGAUUGCAGCGCGAACUGUCAGACUUGAGUGCGCACAACGUAGGCGGAAUUCAUGGUGUAGCGGUGAAAUGCUUAGAUAUCAUGAAGAACUCCGAUUGCGAAGGCAGCUUACGGGAGCGCAACUGACGCUGAAGCUCGAAGGUGCGGGUAUCGAACAGG
rnacentral:rRNA from 1 species